GUGGGAGCAAGGCUUGCCCGCGAUAACAUCGGCUCGGUACCUGGAUGAACCGAGGCGCCUACAUCGCGGGCAAGCUUUGCUCCCAC
rnacentral:misc_RNA from 1 species